rnacentral:lncRNA from 1 species
UAAGAACAAGAAUCAAGUAUUUAUUGCGUGAAACAGAAAUUAAAUAGUAGAAUUCAUCAUAGGUUUCAUCUUCCCUAGGUAUCUUGGGAAUUAGUUCAUAAUCCUGAAUAAAAACAUCUCAAAGUCAGAAAAACCAUAAGAAACAAAGAAACUCAUAAAAACUUCGAAAGAAAUUAAAAGGAAGUCUUCGAUCUUGAUGGAAAUCUACUUCAGAGUUGGCUCCAAUGGUGUUCUUCGAGUUGUUUCUUCAAUAUUCUCUGAUGGCUUCCAUAUCUCUUCUUUUAUUUGAUAUUUAUAGACUUUAGAAGGUUCAGAAAGCCUAAAAAUUACAUUUUCUGCAUGUUUGGGAAGCAGGUUGCGAAAUUGACACUGGCUGGCACAUGGGCAUGUGUCUAGCCCUUGUAGCUUACAAGGGCGUGUGCCCAGCCCAUGUGGCUCAUGAUAUCUGUUCUUUUUCUUCAAUUUUUGCUCAUUUUUUGCUCAUUCUACUCCCAAAUGCCCACCUAAGCAUAAGAACAUGAAUUCAAAGGAUUACCAAUUUGCAUAAAUAAUCAUCCAAAAACGCAUUAAGAAUGAGAUUAAAAUAUGUUAUUUUUAUCAUUUAUCAAUAGUCUCUGAUAACAUGUAGAAUAUCUUCAGAAUGAUGACCACAUAUACUACAAGAGCUGUCAUACCCUAUUCCUCUCUUAACACGCUCUACGUUAGUCAGCAACUUCUGAUUUAAAAUAAGCCAUAAGAAGAAUCGAACUCUUUGGGGUCUCUAAAAUUUCCAUUGAAGAUUCUACUGUGUAUCAUUCGGUCUCCAAUUCCUUUCCCGAAUACGUUAGUUAGCACUUUUUAGAGGGAAAAUACAAUUUAAAGUCUUAGUUCAAAAAAUCUUGUUAAGGCUUGCAGAUGGGUGGGGUGGGGAUACUCACAACGCGUCUAACAAUUCCUUUUGGCAACCAUAGACGAAAAAGAUCCAGAUUCCAAGAGCCCUCAUUAUUUACCAUUUCACUAAGCAUGUAAUCUAAGUUAAUAUUACAAUGGCCCGAAAUAUGAUCAAUUAAAAGGCCCACAUCCGGAAUCCAUGGAUCUCUCUAACAUCUAAUGAUGUUAAUUUUACCAACUGACCAACACAAAUUUUCUCAAAUUAAGGGUUAAACCUUUGAGACAGCUCUCCAAAGAGUGGAACAAUGUCCCCGCAAAAUUUUAUCAAGUGAAGCCUCUUUCAUACUAUAUUUGGACCUAAAAACUUGAACCCAUAAAGCAUUAUUGUUGGAGACUAAGUUGGGCCCUAUCUUCAUCAUGAAUGAGGUAUUCUGGUCUCUUAGAUGUCUAAUGCCAAGUCCUCCAUAAGAUCAAGGUUAACAAAUAGACUCCCAGCUAACCAAUGACACCUUUUGAUGGCCCACAGAUGAUCCCUAAAAACUGCCCAACAAUGCGCUCAAUCUCAUCACACAAACCUUUAAGAAUCAUCAUAGGCUAUAUGAAGCAAUUAGAAAUAGAUAAUAGAAUUGAUUGCGCCAAUGUAGCUCUACCGGCUAUAGAUAACUUCUUCUCAUCCCAUCUAUUCAAUUUUCUAUGAAUCUUAUCAACAACAAAAUGUAGAGUACUUCUUGAAAUCCUUUCGUGAAGGAGUGGGACACCCAAAUAGGUACCUAGAUUGUGAACCCUUUGAAAUCUAAGAGUUUCACUCAACUGUAACCUCAAGGCAGCAAACAGUCCUUUGGAGAAAUAAAGUCAAUCUUUUGAACAUUAAUUCGAUGCCCAAAAUACCCACAUAAUCUCUCUAAAAUAUUUUUGAGAACCAGAAUCUGUUGAGGAUCUGCAUGACCAAAAAUGAAAAGAUUGUCUGCAAAGAACAGAUGUGAAAGGGAUGGGCUAUAUCUCGAUAAUAUAAUAAGCCACUAGAGGCCACCCUUUAUGGCAUGAUUAAAACUAUGACCCAACCAUUCCAUACAGAGAAUAAAAAGGUAUAGCAAAAGUAGACAUCCCUGACAAAUACCCCUUGUGGGCUUGAACUUUUGCAUUGGAGCUCCGUUCCAUAGCACUUGCAUGGUAGAAUUCAUAAUAGUAGACAUUAUAACAUUAAUAAGCAUAUUAGGAAUACUUGCAGCCCAAAAAGAAUCAUCAGUAAACUCUCACUGGACUUUGUCAUAUGCUUUUUCCAGAUCAAUUUUAACUGACUUCCAAUUCCUGUUCCUAUAUUUAAUCUGCAUCGAAUGUAUAACCUCCUAGGCAAUCAGGAUAUUAUUCGUAAUGUUACGUCCUGUAAUAAAGUUUGUCUGUUCCUGGCCAAUGAUAUUGGGAAAACUAUUUUAAAACGGUUAGCAAUGACUUUUAUUAUCAUUUUAUACAUCACAGAACACAAACUAAUUAGACGGAAUGGAAAAAAAGUUCUCAGAAUUAGGGACUUUAGGAAUGAGAACUAACAACGUGUUAUUCAACUCAGGCUCAAUACUCUUAUAAGAAAAAUACCUAUUUCACCCAUACACAAAUCUUUAAACCAAUUAAAUCCCACUGCUUCUGGAAAAAAAAAUCCUGGAAGCCAUCACUCCCUGAAGCCUUCAGCGAUACCAUAUCGAAAAGGGCUUUUUUGAUCUCAUCAUUUGACACACCCUUUCCUAAAAAUUGAGAAUCACAAUUAUCCAGAUUAGGGAAAAAGUUAGGAGGUAGCAUACCCAUGGGUCCAGGUUGGUCGCCAUACAACUUAUGAAAGAAAUUAAUAGCUUCAAGUUUAAGAGCUUCAUCAUCAUAAAUCCGAAAACCAUCUUCACUUUUCAGAGCAAUAAUGCAGUUAUAUUUCCUUCUUCGUAGGGUAUGAAAAUGAAAAAAACUUAGUAUUACGAUCCCCCAAAUUUAACCACUCACAUCUAGAUUUUUAUUUCCAAAUAAGUUCCUCAUAAUAGAGGACAUUUUCCAACUCUUCAUGGGUUUCCAUCUCUGACUGUAUGAGUGAACUAGAAUUAGAAAUCUCUAGCUUCCUUUGUAAACUAGAGAGUUUGUUCACCAAAUGUUUUUUGCAAGUACCUAAAUAACCAUAAACUGUUCUAUUCCACUUCUUGAGUCCUACAGAAAGAUUAGAAAUGAAGUCUGCCAAAUUUCCAUGAAACCCCCAUUGAUCCUUAACAAAACCUGAAAACCUCGGAUGCUCCAACCAUUUAGCUAGAAAUCUCAAUGGAUGAUCCUUGGAAAUUCUAAGCUUUGGUCUCAUUGAAAGAAGAAGCGGUCUGUGAUCAGAUUUAAGUGUUGGGAGAUGAGUAACUACCGUGUUAGGAAAAUCGUUAAGCCAAGCUUCAUUUCCAAUAGCCCAAUCUAAUCCCUCAAAAAUCCCCCCAUUGUGCCAAGUAAAGGAAGGACCACGAAAACCCAAAUCAUACAAAGCCGCGACAUCCAUAAAUUCCCCAAAUAGAGAACACCUCACACCUCUGACCUGUCUACCUUUCUUCUCAUUAUUAGAUAAAAUGACAUUAAAGUCCCCAAAGCUAAGCAGGGAAUCCCUCUUAAUAGAAUAGUAGUAUAUAAACCUUCCCAAAGCAUUUUCCGUUUCUGUCUAUUAGGACUACUAUACACAAAAGCAAUAAAGAUAGAGUAUUAUUGAGAGCUACCGAAGACCCUAACCAAAAUAAAUUGGAGGUGGUUAUGAACCACCUUAACCUGAACCGAAUCUUUCCAACCAAUCCAAAUUAUUCCUGAAAAUCCAAUAGCUUCUACACGAUGAGAAAACUGAAAGCGCCUAAUUUAGAAAUAAUGUUAUCAGCUUUUAUGCCACUAAUUCUUGUUUCUAGAAGGCUGAUAAUAUCUAGCUUAUGUUCUAAAUUAUACUCACUAAAGAUACGCAAAAAUUUAACACUAGCACAUCCUUGACAAUUCCAUGAAAAUAAAGACAAAUCUAUAAUAAAACUGCUAGGUAAAAAAAGUGAUUCCAAAACCUUUAUUGACCAGAAGGAGCGGAUCCUUGUAAACCUUUCCCAUUCCUUUUAGGAGCUCCCGAAUCACCAACAGUAUCAAUUUGAAGAUUAAUAAGCUCAACCAUAGAAUUCAUGAAAUCCGAGAGUGAAGUACAAGAAUUACCAGAGUUCUUGAAUUUAUCGCUCCGGCCCCAGAGUGUUUUAUUAAGGACUUUUCCACUUUUACUCAGAUCAGUUUUACCACCAAAUCCCCGACUUUUACCAACGAUAAUACCGCCUCUAACAACUUAUUAUUGUUAUCGUUCUUUUAAAAAAAAAAAAUUCACACUUACCGAACUCGAGCUAUCCGUAAAAGAGACUACUGAAUGCUUAUCCGGAUCCAAAACUCCUUUUUCCAAAGGACCUCCAUUCCCAUUGGACCUGCAAAAAUAAGAUUGGAAAAAGUCAUUGAAUUAGAAGUCGCAUCUGUCAAAUUAUUUUUCUGAUCAGAUAAAAUUUCACUGCAAAUUGAGACUGGUGUUGGAAUUAAAAUUGAAUUAGAAAAAUUAGCCUGCACAGCAAGUUG